GCGGCCUAUCAGCUUGUUGGUGAGGUAAUGGCUCACCAAGGCGACGACGGGUAGCCGGCCUGAGAGGGCGACCGGCCACACUGGGACUGAGACACGGCCCAGACUCCUACGGGAGGCAGCAGUGGGGAAUAUUGGGCAAUGGAGGAAACUCUGACCCAGCGACGCCGCGUGCGGGAUGAAGGCCUUCGGGUUGUAAACCGCUUUCAGCAAGGAAGAAGCGAAAGUGACGGUACUUGCAGAAGAGGCACCGGCUAACUAUGUGGCAGCAGCCGCGGUAAUACAUAGGGUGCAAGCGUUGUCCGGAAUUAUUGGGCGUAAAGAGCUCGUAGGUGGUUCGUCACGUCGGAUGUGAAAAUCUGGGGCUUAACCCCAGACCUGCAUUCGAUACGGGCGAGCUAGAGUGUGGUAGGGGAGACUGGAAUUCCU
rnacentral:rRNA from 1 species